rnacentral:rRNA from 1 species
AUGCUGCCGGCUAGCGUCAAGUUCGAUCCCACGGAUCAGGAGCUAAUCGAGCACCUUGAGGAUAAAGUGAGUGCUGACAGCGCGAGUUCUCACCCUCUCAUCGAUUUGUUCAUACCAACCAUCGACAGCGAGCACGGCAUAUGCUAA